GCUCAGCGCUCACAACAGACGAACGCCAACUGUAUUUUACGCCGUUUAUUCUUCCACACUUAAACCAGAUGCUUUACAUCGAGGCCGUGUUAUCGAUUUAUAUCUACACAGCGAGUGAAUCGAGAGAUAUUGAAAAUGUGAAUAGUGGUUGGAUUUAAAUUGCUCAGGCGUGCAAAAUUCAAAGUGUCAUUACAUAUUUUUUACGGAACAUUAACGAGAAAUGAAUUAUCUACACAGGUAUGUAAAUAUUAUUGCAAUCCGUUGAUACUAAGUGUCUUAUAUCGGGGCUUGAAUGUUGCGCACAAAAUCCUUGCGCAACAAUAUAGACAAAGAACAAAAAAUCUCCACCACAUAAUUGGUCUUUCAACCUUUGUACGCUCCAAAUAUUACCCAUAAGAAAAGUAGCUUAAUAUUUGAGAGCGUCAAAAAUUUGGACUAAUUUCUGCCUAUUCUACACUAUUGUUUGGAAUAUAUUAAAAGGUUAGACAAUAGAACUUCAUCAGCCAAGGGAAUGCCACAGUCUUCGGGGAAGAAAACAUGGCUACCUCUGGAGAGAACUUAAAGAUCUUAAAGAUGACUGCAAAGUAAGAAAGCCCAGAUGGUCCUAUGAUGACUCAACAAUGGAUGACAAGGAAAACACAAGACGAGGUCCACUUUUGAGAGCUUUGACUGGAAAUCGUAGUGCUUCAUUUGUGGCGAAAAGUGCAGCCGUCAUAGAGACAAUACAUCAAGAGUUUUUAGCAGAAGUUGGUCCCUAGGGCCAAACAAAAAAAUUGUGUGUUUCGGGAAACGGCUGAAAAAAAAAAUAGGAGGACUUGACAAGGAUAAGUCGAACGAUUUGUUACUGGAUAUAAGGUUCGAAGCUUUGUAAGAGGUACAUGAACACCAUCAAACAUCACGGAAGGUGUCGUUAUGCAGCCAGUCAAAUAUUACAACCACAGUGACAGACAGACAGGGACUCUGGUGUUAAUUGAAAGCUUUUUAUCUCAAAGAACUAUAUAAACAAACCAUUUUAUAUUU